rnacentral:lncRNA from 1 species
AAUGCGCGCUAGCAACCACUUUGAUCUGCCACCUCAAUUAAUGAGGGAGAUCAAGUGGUCCACGUUUUUUUUUCUCAUUUUCUGAUUUUAAUUUUAUUUUGUUUAUUUUCAUUAAUUCAUAUUAAUUUUAAUAUUGAUCCAAAAAAUAUGAGAGUUUCACCAAAAAAAUUUAAAUAAAUUCCUCUUUCAUUUUCUGAAUUAAAAUUAUUUUUUGGGUCAUUAUUAAUAUUUUUCUUGAUUUAAUUUAUUUUGUGAAUAUUUUUAAUUGUUUAUAAAUAGUUUUAAGUUUCCAAAAAUUACGAAUUUUUUUCUCCAAGGUCCUUUGACCUUGUUUGACCUAUGAUAAAU